GCGAUUCUGCAGCACUCAGCCGCGCGCCCGGCUAGUCCCGCCUGGCCCCAGCUACACGUCAGCAGCCGACGCCUCCGCGCAGGCGCACAGGGCGCGGCUACAGCAACUACUUCCUUCGCAACCCGUUGGUAGGGAGAAGGACGCCUCAGCCACUAGGCUGCUUCCGGUGUGUCACUGAACACUUUCCCGGUCCCAGCAGCUGGAGGAUUUGUGUUUGGUAGCACCUGGGGGAUGGCUCUGUCCCGGGCGCACUUAGGCGGGGUGUGCGGAGCGCUUUACCUUCCACAGUGUCCGGCACACGCAUCCUUUUCGACAUCAUCACUUGACCUGCUGCAAUAGACCAAGUCUUGCUGUGUUGCCCAGGCCAGAGUGCAGUGGUGCAAUCUCUGCUCAGUGCAACCUCCACCUCUUGGGUUCAAGUGAUCAUUCUGCCUCAGGCUCCUGACUAAUUGGGAUUACAGGCAUGCACCACCACACCGGCUAAUGUUUGUAUUUUCAGUGGAGACGGGGUUUUACCAUGUUGGCCAGGCUGGUCUCAAACUCCUGACCUCAGGUGAUUCGCCUUCCCUCAGCCUCCCAAAGUGCUGGGUUUACAGGCGUGAGCCACCGCCCGGCCUCAUGUCAUCAAAAGAAGAGAAAACAGAGGCACAAGAGAAGAUGACCACAGAAGACAGAGGCAGAGGCUGGGGUUAUGCUACCACAAACCGGAGAAUGCCAAGGAUUGCUGGCAACCACCAGGAGCCUGGGGAGAGGCGUGGAACCCCUCCUCCCUCAGAGGCCCCAGAAGGAUCCAACCCUGCUAAUACCUUGAUUUUAGACUUCCCACCCCCAGAACUGUGAGAAAAUAAAUUUCUAGCUGCUUUAAGCCA